UGGGGAAUAUUGGACAAUGGGGGGAACCCUGAUCCAGCCAUGCCGCGUGUGUGAAGAAGGCCUUAUGGUUGUAAAGCACUUUAAGCGAGGAGGAGGGUACUGGUAUUAAUACUACCAGGUACUGGACGUUACUCGCAGAAUAAGCACCGGCUAACUCUGUGCCAGCAGCCGCGGUAAUACAGAGGGUGCGAGCGUUAAUCGGAUUUACUGGGCGUAAAGCGUGCGUAGGCGGCUAAUUGAGUCGGAUGUGAAAUCCCCGAGCUUAACUUGGGAAUUGCAUUCGAUACUGGUUAGCUAGAGUGUGGGAGAGGAUGGUAGAAUUCCAGGUGUAGCGGUGAAAUGCGUAGAGAUCUGGAGGAAUACCGAUGGCGAAGGCAGCCAUCUGGCGUAACACUGACGCUGAGGUACGAAAGCAUGGGGAGCAAACAGG
rnacentral:rRNA from 1 species